rnacentral:rRNA from 1 species
GAUGAACGCUGGCGGCGUGCCUAAUACAUGCAAGUCGAGCGAACAGACGAUGAGCUUGCUCCUCUGACGUUAGCGGCGGACGGGUGAGUAACACGUGGAUAACCUACCUAUAAGACUGGGAUAACUUCGGGAAACCGGAGCUAAUACCGGAUAAUAUAUUGAACCGCAGGGUUCAAUAGUGAAAGACGGUUUUGCUGUCACUUAUAGAUGGAUCCGUGCCGCAUUGGCUAGUUGGUAAGGUAACGGCCUACCAAGGCAACGAUGCGUAGCCGACCUGAGAGGGUGAUCGGCCACACUGGAACUGAGACACGGUCCAGACUCCUACGGGAGGCAGCAGUAGGGAAUAUUCGACAAUGGGCGAAAGCUUGACGCAGCAACGCCGCGUGAGUGAUGAAGGUCUUCGGAUCGUAAAACUCUGUUAUUAGGGAAGAACAAAUGUGUAAGUAACUAUGCACGUCUUGACGGUACCUAAUCAGAAAGCCACGGCUAACUACGUG